AAGUAUUGGAAAGGCCUCAUUACCACUUUCUCAAUCUUGUCACGUAUAACUCAUCACCAAACAUUCAAAAAAAUGGUACGAUAACUAACAUGGAAAUAAUGAUGUUCUCUAAAUUAUUGUCCACGUCACUUCCUUACUUCUAUAACACAAAUCUUCUCAUAGAUAAUUCCCGGAAACACAAGCAAUUCCACAAAAGAGAAUCUGAUGACUAUCCAUGCAGCUAUUUGUGAAGGCCUUUUAAACCAGCAAGACUAAUCAUUGUCACAAAUAGUAGAAAAUUAAAACAACUUUAUAGGAGACAUGACAUUCCUAAAUGGAUCCAGUGGUGCCUUUUGCCCAUAAAGUCAAUAGAUGUCAUAAGUAAGUGUUAAGCAGAUGGUUAAAUGCACUGUUGUUAGCUAACGGAAUAUAGUCAGUUAAAGUUAACAGAUUACGAGUUAGUUAGAAGUGUCAGUAAUUCAGUUAGGAUAAUUGAUUAUAUAUAGAGGCUAAGUAGAAGUUAUAAAGAAAAACUUUCAACAUCUGUAAUUUCAUUCAAGCAAUUAAUAUACAAUUCUCUUUACAUGCACUGAUCUUUACAUGGUAUCAGAGCUAUAGGGAUCUAGGGAUUUAUCCUCAUGAGAUUUGGAGGUAGAUCGAGAGAUUCACCAUGGCGAUUAAGGAAGAACUGACGGGAAGCACUGAUGGUCAAGUUCAAGGAGAUCUUGUCAACGGAAGCACUAUGGUAAUUGAUCACAAUCACCCCCUAUAUUUGAGUUCUUCUGAUGUUCCUGGAGCUCUUUCUAUUGGAAUUCAGCUAACAGGAAUGGAGAAUUACACCUUGUGGAGUCGAGCUAUGGAGAUUGCAUUGCUUGGACGAAACAAAGUGGGAUUUAUUGAUGGUUCUGUUUUGCGUACUGAUUUCGAUGGUGCUUUGAAGAAGAUUUGGGAUCACUGUAACGAAAUUGUAAUCUCUUGGCUCACCUGUAAUGUGAGCAAGGAUCUACUUAGUGGAAUUUUAUACUCUUCCAGUGCGAAUCAGGUAUGGCUCGAUCUCAAGGAGAGAUUUGAUAAGGUUAAUGGAUCUAGACUCUAUCAACUGCACAUAAACAUUUUCACUCUCACACAAGGGACUCUGCAAGUCUCUUCAUACUACAUGAAAUUGAAGAACCUAUGGGAAUGAGUAUGAUUCAAUUUUACCUCCACCUAGUUGUGAUUGCAAUAAGGCAAAGGACUAUGUUGAACAAAUGCAAUACCAACGAUUGCUUCAAUUUCUCAUGGGCUUAAAUGACAGUUAUUCACAGGCUAGAGGUCAGAUCUUGAUGAUGACCUGCCUUCCCAAUGUGAACUAGGCUUAUGCCUUGAUUAUAUAGGAUGAAAGUCAAAAAGGAAUUGUUGGAUCUGUAUAUGAAGGAAUGGAAUCUUUAGCACUGUAUACUGCUAGAAAAUUUAGGUCACCACAACCUAAUUCUAGGCAGGAUUUUCCUAGGAGGAACUUCCAUUCAUUAUUCUGUGACUUUUGUAAUAUGAAAGGGCAUACUCGAGCUGAAUGUAAUAAACUGAAGAAAUGUGAUCAUUGCAAUGCUAUUGGACAUGUGAAGGAUGAUUCCUUCCAACUCAUUGGCUAUCCAGAAAAUUUCAAAGGCAAGAAGAAGGUAAAUGCAGUAAUAGGAGAUAGUGUUAUGCAGAAACCAAUGCCAUUUAUGCAGGAUCAACUGUCAUGGAAGGCACACACAGUUGUGGGAGAGAAGUCACAUCCUGAUCUAUCUCAGAUGGGAGAACAGCUCACACACAACCAGUUGUUGCAAAUGCUGAACAAAUCCUCACCAGCACAACUUAACCAGAUACUCAAUGUCCUGCAAGGCAACAACAAUAUCAUGAAUACUCAGAAAAGUGCACACAUGGCAGGUAAGCUUAUUUCAUCCUUAAAAUGGAUCAUAGACACUGGUGCUACAGACCAUAUGAUACAUGAUCACACUUACCUACAUUAUGAGAAUAAAGUGGGUAGUAUGGGGAGAGUGCAGUUGCCUACAGGGGAUUCAGCCAUAGUUUCACAUGUUGGGGAUCUUCAACUUAAUGACACUGAUAUGAUCAUAAAUGUUUUAUGCAUACCAGCCUUUGAGUUUAAUCUUAUGUCUGUCAACAAACUGACAAAAGAAUUGAAUUGCUACGUUUCUUUUUUUCCUACACACUGUGUGUUUCAGGAUCUCUUGUCUGGGAAGGUCAAGGGGAUUGGUGAAGUUGAGGAUGGUUUGUAUGUGCUGUUGGAACACCAAGCAAUAUCAAAACAAGAUUAAAUAUUGUCUGCAGUGGGAUCAGGAGAAAGAGAUAUAGAACUAUGGCACAAGAGACUAGGACAUGUUCCUAUGGGAGUACUUAGGAGAAUAAAAGAUUUCAAUACAUGUAGUAACUUUGCUAUUGAACAAUGUAUGGUUUGCCCCCAAGCUAGACAAACUAGAGUUCUAUUUCCUAUGAGUGACUACAGUAAAAGAUGUUUUUGACUUAGUUGACAUGGAUGUAUGGGGUCCAUAUAAGGUGGCUACUCAUAAUGGGAUGAAAUACUUUCUUACUUUAGUUGAUGAUAAAUCUAGAUGGACAUAGACUUUUUUGAUUGCUUUGAAGUCUGAUGUAAUUGUUGUUUUGAGACAGUUCUUGAUAAUGGUAAUGACUCAGUUUGGGAAAAGUGUUAAAGUUUUCAGGUCUGAUAAUAGAGGGGAAUUUGUUAAUACUAACUUUCAUGAUUUAUUUGUUCAACAUGGAAUUAUUCACCAAAGAUCAUGUCCACAUUCUCCACAACAAAAUGGGGUUGUGGAGAGGAAAUAUAGACACAUGCUAGAGACUACCAGAGCUAUCAAAAUUCAGGGCCAUCUACCACAUAGAUUUUGGGGUGAACGUGUGGAAGCUGCAACAUAUAUCAUCAACAGGAUACCUUUGUCUGUAUUAGGGAACAAGUCACCUUAUGAGAUCAUGCCCAUAUCAGAGUAGUAGGAUGUCUGGCAUUUGCUACAAACCUAAGGAGAGAUGAUAAGUUUGCUCCAAAAGCUAGAAAAGCAGUCUUUCUAGGGUAUGCUGUCAAUCAAAACGGGUACAAAUUAUUGAACAUUGAGUCCAAAGUCAUAUUUGUUAGCAGAGAUGUCCUUUUUCAUGAGACUGAAUUUCCCUUUCAGUACUCAGGUCUGAGUGAAGAUGGUGUUCAUGAGCCCUCUGUAUAUUUUUCACAUGAAGGAGAUUCUGAACAGACACCCUGUGUUGUCUUCAGGAGUGCAGUGCCUGCUAAUGUUUCUAAAUGUACAAAUUCUUUAUUAUGCACUGAUGAUAAGCACAAUAAUGAGCAUAGUGUUCUUGAUUAACAUGUGAACACUGCAGAUGUUGGAGUUUUUCCAGAAGCUCCAGUAUCCCCUCAUGUUCCCAUCAAUGUUUCUGAUAAUAAUAAUCUCAUCCCACAGGAUGCCACCAGGAGGUCUAACAGACCUGCUAAGUAGGGGUGUGCAUUCGAUUUUUCUAUUUGGUUUUGCACUAUUCUAUUUGAAUUUUUCAAUUUUUGGUUUUGUAAAAGUGUAACCCAGUCCGAUCCAAAAUAAAUUUGGUUUGAUUUGGUUUUCCUCUAUUCGGUUCGGCUUUUUUCGGUUUGGUUAUUCGGUUAUGUCAAUAAUUAAUUACAUAACCAAAGUAAUAAUAUUUAAUCUCUUAAAUAUACUUUCUAAUAUAAAUCAUAAGUAAAACUUAAAACACAAUACUUAUAAGUAUACCUAUUAUAGAUGUAAUUCAAACAUAAAAUAUAGUAAUUUAUUACUCCAAAACCAAUCCGAAAAACCAAAAAACCAAUCCAAAUAAAAUUUCGGUUUGAUUUGGUUUGGUUAUUCGGUUUAAUCCAAAUAGUGCACACCCCUACUGCUAAGCCUCCAAUCUGGCAUACUGAUUAUGUGUUGACACAGAAAAAAGCAGUUGUCUCUUAUUUCAUAUGUGACAUACUUGACUAUCACAGCAUCUCAUCAACUUAUAAGAGUUUUGUGACUAAGUUUUCUCAAGAAAGGGAACCAACUUCAUAUCAGGAAGCAAUGCAUGAUCCUAGGUAGGUUGCAGCCAUGCAGAGUGAGAUCCAAGCACUGGAAGAUAACCAUACAUGGAGGAUUGUUCAAUUGCCAAAAGACAAGAAGGCAAUAGGAUGCAAGUGGGUAUACAAAAUCAAAUACAAGGCUGAUGGUGAGGUUGAUAGGUUCAAGGCUAGGUUGGUAGCCAAGGGUUACAACCAAAAAGAAGGUCUGGACUAUCAAGAAACAUUCUCUCCUGUUGUGAGAAUGGGCACUGUCAGGGCAGUCAUAGCUUUAGCUGCUACACACAACUGGCCAAUACAACAAAUGGAUGUAUUCAAUGUCUUUCUUCAAGGUGAUUUAUAUGAAGAAGUGUACAUGACUUUGCCACUGAGAUUUGUCCAUAAAGGUGAGCAGGGGAUGGUGUGUAAACUCAUCAAGUCACUUUAUGGACUCAAGCAGGCUAGCAGGCAAUGGAACAUCAAGUUGACUACAACUCUAAUUGAAUCUGGCUUUCAACAGAGUCAUUAUGACUAUUCUCUAUUCACAAAGCACCAGGGAAAGAGCUUAGUAUGUUGAUGAUCUGUUAAUUAUAGGAAAUGAUCACAAAUUAAUAUUGCAGACAAAGGGAAUCCUCAAGGACAAUUUCAAGAUCAAAGACUUAGGUGAUUUGAGGUACUUUCUAGGGAUUGAGUUUGCCAGGAAUAACACUGGAAUCCUUAUGCAUCAAAGGAAGUACUGUCUUGAACUAAUUUCAGACAUGGGGUUAUCUAGCUCAAGGCCUGUUAUAGCUCCUAUUGAGAUAAACCACAAACUCACAACUGCAAAGUUUGAUCUGCAAUUCCCUUCUGAAAAUGGAAAUGACAAGCUGCUAGAUGAUACUGGAGUGUAUAAAAAACUAGUAGGGAGAUUGCUUUACUUAACAAUGACAAGACCAGACAUUGCUUUUGCAGUACAGUUGCUAAGCCAGUUCAUGCACAGUCCAAAGACAUCUCACAUAAAGGCAUCAAUAAGAGUAGUUAGAUAUGUUAAGCAAUCACCAGGUCUAGGCAUACUCAUGUCAUCCAAUGCUACUGAUCAGUUGACCGCAUAUUGUGAUGCAGACUGGGCUGCAUGCCCAAACAAUCGAAGAUCUAUCACAGGGUACAUGGUUACUUAUGGGGAUUCCUUGAUCUCAUGGAAAUCAAAAAAAUAGAACACCAUUUCAUGAAGUUCAGCUGAGUCUGAAUAUAGAAGUAUGGCCUCAAUAGUUGCAGAAACUGUAUGGCUGGUUGGGCUUUUUAAGGAAUUGGGCAUAUAACUGAAGCAGCCUGUGUCAAUUUAUUGUGACAGCAAAUUUGCCAUACAGAUUGAUGUCAAUCCAGUCUUUCACGAGCGUACUAAACAUAUAGAUAUCGAUUUCCACUUCAUUAGAGAAAAAGUUCAGCUAGGCAUGGUUCAACCUACGUACUUGAAGACAAGUGAAUAGCCUGCAGACUUGUUCACCAAAGGACUUACUCAUGUGCAGCAUGGAUACCUGCUUACCAAACUAGGAAUGAAGAAUGUAUUCUACACACCUAGCUUGAGGGAGGAUGUUAAGCAGAUGGUUAAAUGGUUAAAUGCACUGCUAUAAGCUAACGGAUUAUAGUCAGUUAAAGUUAACAGAUUAUGAGUUAGUUAGAAGUGUCAGUAAUUCAGUUAGGAUAAUUGAUUAUAUAUAAAGGCUAAGUAGCAGUUAUAAAGAAAAAUGUUCAGCAUCUGUAAUUUCAUUCAAACAAUCAAUUUACAAUUCUCUUUACAUGUACUGAUCUUUACAGUAAGUACCUUUGAAGAAUUUGGUGCUCGAGGGAAAUCUCCAACA
rnacentral:lncRNA from 1 species